rnacentral:misc_RNA from 1 species
GAUGAAGAACGCAGCGAAAUGCGAUAAGUAGUGUGAAUUGCAGAAUUCAGUGAAUCAUCGAAUCUUUGAACGCACAUUGCGCCCCUUGGUAUCCCGAGGGACAUGCCUGUUCGAGCGUCAUUUCACCACUCAAGCCUGGCUUGGUGUUGGGCGACGUCCCCUUUGGGGACGCGCCUCGAAACGCUCGGCGGCGUGGCACCGGCUUUAAGCGUAGCAGAAUCUUUCGCUUUGGAAGUCGGGGCCCCGUCUGCCGGAAGACCUACUCGCAAGGUUGACCUCGGAUCAGGCAGGGAUACCCGCUGAACUUAAGCAUAUCAAUAAGCGGAGGA